UACGUAGGGUGCAAGCGUUAAUCGGAAUUACUGGGCGUAAAGCGUGCGCAGGCGGCUAUGCAAGACAGAUGUGAAAUCCCCGGGCUCAACCUGGGGAACUGCAUUUGUGACUGCAUGGGCUAGAGUACGGGUAGAGGGGGGAUGGAAUUCCGCGUGUAGCAGUGAAAUGCGUAGAUAUGCGGAGGAACACCGAUGGCGAAGGCAAUCCCCUGGACCUGUACUGACGCUCAUGCGACGAAAGGCGUGGGGAGCAAACGAGG
rnacentral:rRNA from 1 species